UUAGGAAUUUUGCGCAAUGGGAGAAAUCCUGACGCAGCAACGCCGCGUGGGUGAUGAAGGCCUUCGGGUUGUAAAGCCCUUUUAGUGGGGACGAAAAAAAUGACGGUACCCGCAGAAAAAGCACCGGCUAACUCUGUGCCAGCAGCCGCGGUAAUACAGAGGGUGCAAGCGUUAUUCGGAAUUACUGGGCGUAAAGCGCAUGUAGGCGGUUCGGUAAGUCUGAUGUGAAAUCCCCCGGCUUAAUCGGGGAAGUGCAUCGGAUACUGCCGGACUGGAGUACAGGAGAGGAGAACGGAAUUCCAGGUGUAGAGGUGAAAUUCGUAGAUAUCUGGAGGAACAACGGCGGCGAAGGCGGUUCUCUGGACUGUAACUGACGCUGAGAUGCGAAAGCGUGGGGAGCAAACAGG
rnacentral:rRNA from 1 species